UGCCAGCCGCCGCGGUAGUACGGAGGGUGCAAGCGUUAUCCGGAUUUAUUGGGUUUAAAGGGUGCGUAGGCGGAAUAAUAAGUCAGUGGUGAAAUCCUGCGGCUCAACCGUAGAACUGCCAUUGAUAUUGUCAUUUUUGAAUAUAGUUGAGGUAGGCGGAAUUCCUAGUGUAGCGGUGAAAUGCGUAGAUAUUACACAGAACACCGAUUGCGAAGGCAGCUUGCUAAACUAUGAUUGACGCUGAUGCACGAAAGCGUGGGGAGCGAAAAGGAUUAGAUA
rnacentral:rRNA from 1 species